ACUCUCUGCGUCGUCUCUCUUUCUCUCUCGCGCUCUCGCUCCCAAACCUUACCUCUUCAACCCGGUUUUCCUCCUUCCAGUUCGUAUGUCUCUUCAAUCUUCGCCAAUUUCUUCCUCCAUUGUUCUGAGAUCACCAGUCGCUACGAUCCCCGUCCGAAAUCCUAACCGUAGCUACUCGAAUUCGUCGUCUAAGAGCCCAGCGACGGCGACGACGCUGGUUGGUUCAGCCGGUGGAAUCCUUCAUUGACACUUCUCUCUCUGGUCUGCUUCGUUGAACUUCAUGUCGCGCCGGCUUUCUACAAAUGGCGAUGGCAAACCCUUUCCAUUUGUGAGGUGACAACUCUGAGGACCCCACAGCAAAUCGCAGCGGCGGAAGCGACGUCUCCACUCAAGAAGGGUUUAGCUGCGGCGGCUCAGCAGCAGCAGCAAGCUCAGUUGGCUUCUAAGCCUGUUCCUCCUGCAUAGGCUGAUGGAAAGGAAAAAGCAAGAGGAUAAAGUGAAGAGGGUGCAACAACAGGAGGAACAUUUUAAUUUUGUUAAGAUCUUCGGAUGAUCAUGAACCCUGAAAGGAGGCAAAUCAUCGACACCUACAUUGAUGGAGUAGCUGCAGCUGCUAGGAAAUGCGAUGUUGGGGGAAAGAGGAGAGUUAUGAGAUCGGUUGCAGUGAGGUGGACCACAAAGGCAGCAGUGGCAGCGGGGCAUGGGGGUGUGGUAUCAAGCUCUGGUAUCCCAGCUACCGUUGCGACGGCCGGAGACGGUAGUCCUGGAUACCGCGGUUUUGAUAAUAAGCAGAAAACAGAGAGGGUCGCUGGUUCAGGGGCACUGGGGCAGUAGUUCAGAGAUUCAAAUCUAGGUUAUUCGUAGGUCUAUCUUGUGCAUAUCUUGCUAUUUCAACCUGCUAAUGUCUUUUACAUUCUAUGUUAAUGCACUCUUUAACAGAAACAAACAAAAGAUUGGACAAUGUUGUUAAUUGUAAGUGGCCAAUUUACAAUUUUGGAAUUUAUAUUUGAAUUGUAAAUCAUAUGUUGUUUGUUGGAAAUUCAGAAAAUUAGGGGCACAAUAGUACAAUUGUUAAAAUUUAGUUUAGAUUCCAAAUGUGAGUUUGACUGUAGGUUUGCUUUGCUUAAAGAUUUUGUCUUUAUAAUAAAGAGAUUUUGCUUCUUGAUUUUUUAAAAAAGAAAGGAUGAAGAAUAUUUUGGAAUUUUAAACUAAGUUUAUGAAAGUGAAGAAUUUUUGAAAGGAAAAUUUAGCUUCUUUAUAAUAAAACCAUUUUGUGUAAGGAAAUUGAAAAUAACUACGCAUUGAACUUCAGUGCUGAAGUCCCAGAGGCUAUACUGUUGUAGGAGCCUUUUAUAUUUAUAAACUAAUCAUAAUCACAAGUAGGAUUACCUAUUGUAGGACUUGGUAAAUGCUUAUUGUGGAUGGGAGCACCAUGAAUUUGGGUUUUUGGGACUCUGUUGGUGAGUUAGUUCACUGUUUAUCAAGUUUGUUUUGGGAGGGUCUUGCUUUUUCUCAAUUUUUUUGAAAUAGGUCAAGAAGAUUUCAAUAGAUUAAGACCUUUAAGCUAUUGUGGAGCUAAUGAAAAUUAAAUGUGAUUAUUAUGCUCAAUUAUGCCUUUUAAAUAUUUUCUUUGGUUUAGAGAAUGUAUCCAAUUAUUUUAAAUUUGGAUGAAUGAAUAGGGAUUUUUCCUUUAGAGUUUCAAUUUUUGUUGUGUUAUGGAUUCUCUUAAUUGGUCGUCUUUG